CCCCUAGAUGUUCUGGGCCGCACGCGCGCUACACUGAACAGUUCAACAAGUCUUAACCUUGGCCGAUAGGUCUGGGUAAUCUUUGAACGCUGUUCGUGAUUGGGAUAGACCUUUGCAAUUAUGGGUCUUCAACGAGGAAUUCCUAGUAAACGCAAGUCAUCAGCUUGCAUUGAUUACGUCCCUGCCCUUUGUACACACCGUCCGUCGCACCUACCGAUUGAAUGGUCCGGUGAAAUCUCGGGACGGCGGCUUGGUCGCUUGCGUCCGACUGCUGAAACUUGAUUAAACCAUAUCAUUUAGAGGAAGGUGAAGUCGUANCA
rnacentral:rRNA from 1 species